rnacentral:rRNA from 1 species
CGGAGCUUGCUCCACCGGAAAAAGAGGAGUGGCGAACGGGUGAGUAACACGUGGGUAACCUGCCCAUCAGAAGGGGAUAACACUUGGAAACAGGUGCUAAUACCGUAUAACAAUCGAAACCGCAUGGUUUUGAUUUGAAAGGCGCUUUCGGGUGUCGCUGAUGGAUGGACCCGCGGUGCAUUAGCUAGUUGGUGAGGUAACGGCUCACCAAGGCCACGAUGCAUAGCCGACCUGAGAGGGUGAUCGGCCACAUUGGGACUGAGACACGGCCCAAACUCCUACGGGAGGCAGCAGUAGGGAAUCUUCGGCAAUGGACGAGAGUCUGACCGAGCAACGCCGCGUGAGUGAAGAAGGUUUUCGGAUCGUAAAACUCUGUUGUUAGAGAAGAACAAGGAUGAGAGUAACUGUUCAUCCCUUGACGGUAUCUAACCAGAAAGCCACGGCUAACUACGUGUCAGCAGCCGCGGUAAUACGUAGGUGGCAAGCGUUGUCCGGAUUUAUUGGGCGUAAAGCGAGCGCAAGCGG